rnacentral:rRNA from 1 species
AGAGUUUGAUCCCUGGCUCAGAACGAACGCUGGCGGCAGGCUUAACACAUGCAAGUCGAGCGGUAACAGGGGGAGCUUGCUCCCCGCUGACGAGCGGCGGACGGGUGAGUAAUGCAUAGGAAACUGCCCAGUAGUGGGGGAUAGCCCGGGGAAACCCGGAUUAAUACCGCAUACGCCCUUCGGGGGAAAGCAGGGGAUCUUCGGACCUUGCGCUAUUGGAUGUGCCUAUGUCGGAUUAGCUAGUUGGUGGGGUAAGAGCCUACCAAGGCGACGAUCCGUAGCUGGUCUGAGAGGAUGAUCAGCCACAUCGGGACUGAGACACGGCCCGAACUCCUACGGGAGGCAGCAGUGGGGAAUAUUGGACAAUGGGGGCAACCCUGAUCCAGCCAUGCCGCGUGUGUGAAGAAGGCUUUCGGGUUGUAAAGCACUUUCAGUGAGGAGGAAAACCUUACGACUAAUACUCGUGAGGCUUGACGUUACUCACAGAAGAAGCACCGGCUAACUCCGUGCCAGCAGCCGCGGUAAUUC